rnacentral:rRNA from 1 species
CGAGUUUGAUCAUGGCUCAGAUUGAACGCUGGCGGAAUGCUUUACACAUGCAAGUCGAACGGUAGAGGGGGCAACCCCUUGAGAGUGGCGAACGGGUGAGUAAUAUAUCGGAACGUGCCCAGUCGUGGGGGAUAACGUAGAGAAAUUUACGCUAAUACCGCAUACGAUCUAUGGAUGAAAGCGGGGGAUCGCAAGACCUCGCGCGAUUGGAGCGGCCGAUAUCAGAUUAGGUAGUUGGUGAGGUAAAGGCUCACCAAGCCGACGAUCUGUAGCUGGUCUGAGAGGACGACCAGCCACACUGGGACUGAGACACGGCCCAGACUCCUACGGGAGGCAGCAGUGGGGAAUUUUGGACAAUGGGCGCAAGCCUGAUCCAGCAAUGCCGCGUGCAGGAUGAAGGCCUUCGGGUUGUAAACUGCUUUUGUACAGGAAGAAACACUACUUCGUGAAGUAGCUUGACGGUACUGUAAGAAUAAGGAUCGGCUAACUCCGUG